GGAACUUUGUAUCUGGCAUAGUUGUCGUCUGGCCUUGGACGUCAUUGUAUGUCAUUCCCUCUUCUCUCCUGCUUAUAGAUGACUGAUGAUGCACUGAGUAGUGCGAAACGUUUCUUUGCUGUUAAUAAACAUGGCCUUUUUAAACAACAUGUGUAUCAUGGACCCUCCUGAAGUCUAUAUAUCUUGCUGACUGGAAUAUCAUAUCCAUCCGAAGAUGAUACGACAACUUUUCUUCGUCCUUUUAUUUGCUUUCCGUCUCCGACUACGAGGAAUUCGUCACUUCUCCCAACUACUGAAGCACCGCUAUCCAGCCGUUACUAUAUCGACUUCACGAAAACUGGAAAAGGCAACACUAAGAUUGGAAAAAGCCAAAUGCGAUCUGGAUUUUCUUCAAUAUUGCCAAUUGAAUGAUGUCGUCCCCAAAUUUGUCCGAUUCAAAUUAUACAAAUCUUCUCUUUACAACACUGAGUUUUAUAAGGAAUCGCUCAGAACUCUACUGAUGAAGGAAAUUAACGUUAAGACUGUUGCCAUCAAGAAAUUGACUGUUACAGCUGAACAAUUAAAACACCUAUUGUAUAACGACUUAUCUCUUUUAGAUCGCCUCUUGUACCAAAGAAUGUUUUACAAAUUUAUUAAUGAUUUUAUUUCGGAUGUCUUUUUAAGACAUCAAAGAAAACUUUUAAGUCUUGGUGUUGUUAUUCCUGAUUUCCAACUCAGAAACCACUGCAUUUUUAACUUAUCUGAUUACAUUUUAUCGAAGA